rnacentral:rRNA from 1 species
CUGAAGUAGAUCAAGCUGGCAGGUACUAAACAUGCAAGUCGAGGGGUAACAUUAUAGCUUGCUAUAGAUGACGACCGGCGCACGGGUGCGGAACGCGUAUGGAACCUGCCCCUGUCAGGGGAAUAGCCCAGAGAAAUUUGGAUUAAUGCCCCAUGGUAACAUUAUAUCGCAUGAUAUUUUGUUUAAAGAUUUAUCGGACAGGGAUGGCCAUGCGUACCAUUAGCUUGUUGGUGGGGUAACGGCCCACCAAGGCAACGAUGGUUAGGGGCCCUGAGAGGGGGAUCCCCCACACUGGUACUGAGACACGGACCAGACUCCUACGGGAGGCAGCAGUGAGGAAUAUUGGACAAUGGGCGGGAGCCUGUUCCAGCCAUGCCGCGUGCAGGAUGACUGCCCUAUGGGUUGUAAACUGCUUUUAUACGGGAAGAAACCUAUCUACGUGUAGAUAGCUGACGGUACCGUAAGAAUAAGGACCGGCUAACUCCGUGCCAGCAGCCGCGGUAAUACGGAGGGUCCGAGCGUUAUCCGGAAUCAUUGGGUUUAAAGGGUCCGUAGGUGGGCCAUUAAGUCAGGGGUGAAAGUCUGCGGCUCAACCGUAGAAUUGCCCUUGAUACUGGUGGUCUUGAGUCGUUGUGGGGUUGCCGGAACAUGUGGUGUAGCGGUGAAAUGCAUAGAUAUCACAUAGAACACCGAUCGCGAAGGCAGGUGACCAACAACGUACUGACACUGAUGGACGAAAGCGUGGGUAGCGAACGGGAUUAGAUACCCCGGUAGUCCACGCCGUAGACGAUGGAUACUAGCUGUCGGGUCUUCGGACUCGGCGGCCAAGCGAAAGUGAUAAGUAUCCCACCUGGGGAGUACGUUCGCAAGAAUGAACUCAAUGAAUUGACGG